rnacentral:misc_RNA from 1 species
GGGGGAUUCAAGCUUUCAGGGACCACUGAGAUGCAGACCAAUGCAUCUAACUUAUACUCGGUGUCCAAUGACACAAAAGCUGAGGUCUUCAGUCAAGGUGUCAAGGAGACCACGUUCUCUCUAAAUAUGGGUGUGGCGCCAGAAUUACCUCGUGCUCUCUCUCUUCUGUCAAAUGAGAAUGAAUUUAUUUCAAUUGGCCACUCCAAGCAUGUAAACCAGAUCAUCAUACCGGAGCAGGUGACGCAUGCAAUUCCUCAGAGUUUGCCAUUUGAGUCCAGUGAACGCUGGCAAGCUGAGCAACAUCUAUUCAAUCCACACAUUCAUACGUUGGUUGCGAAUGGUCACAGUGGUGGUAGCUUUCAGGAAA